rnacentral:sRNA from 1 species
AUUGCGCAUGCGCGCUUCCUUGCGCGAGCCGGGCUGUCGGGUGUGUUUUGCUCUCCAGCUUCCGUCGUCUCUGCAGCACUCCGGGUUCUCCUCCAGAGCGCUAGUCCCAGGAGCUCGGAAUGUUCGUGGAACUUAAUAACCUGCUUAACACCACCCCCGACAGGGCGGAGCAGGGGAAACUGACUCUACUCUGUGAUGCCAAGACAGAUGGGAGUUUCCUUGUACACCACUUUCUCUCCUUCUAUCUCAAAGCUAAUUGUAAAGUCUGCUUUGUGGCACUCAUCCAGUCCUUCAGCCACUACAGUAUCGUGGGACAGAAGCUGGGUGUCAGCCUGACCAUGGCACGGGAGCGUGGGCAGCUUGUGUUCCUUGAGGGACUCAAGUCUGCAGUGGACGUCGUCUUCCAGGCUCAAAAGGAGCCACACCCCCUGCAGUUUCUCAGGUCAGUCAGCCUGCAGCCCAGCCCGGAAGCAACACGUGGCAGGUGGGCCCAGGCAGGGUUCCUGGUUGCUGUGUGAUUCCUUCUUAUUGUGCAGGAGGAUGGAACUGGCUUCAGGAGUCAGACACUUCAUCUGGUG